rnacentral:lncRNA from 1 species
CAUUCUGUCAUAUGUAGGACUAAUAUUGUAUUUCUCACAUAAUCCUGCUAAACAGGGCUGCUUUUGAGAAAGAAAUAGAAGGUUUACCUUCCGCCACACGUUCUGUUGGGGAUCUACCACCUGAGCUCCACUGCCCCUUGUGCAAUGAUGUGAUGAAAGAUGCUGUGCUGACAAGCAAGUGCUGUUUUAAAAGCUUUUGUGACAAAUGUAGGUUUCUUUGUCUUCCUGAAGAAGUCCUGGUUCUUAGAAUUUGAGUAAAUACUUACGUUUUUAAGCUUAUAAUUCUUCAUUAAGCAAGUAAAGAAUGCUUUAGAUGAUAUAAUCUCUCCUCAGCAUUUCUUCCCAAUGUACAAACAUCUCAGAUGAAGUUUUGUAAAUAUCAUUCUGAAAAUUCUUUUCAGGUAUUAGGGACUAUGUUAUCUCCAAGUCCAUGUGCAUAUGUGGUGCAACAAAUAUUCUUGCAGAUGAUCUUUUACCAAAUAAGACCCUAAGAGAUACUAUUAAUCGUAUAUUGGAGUCAGGCAAUAGCAGUGCUGAAAACGCUGGGAGCACCUUUCCUGUUCUAAUGCUUAUUCACUUACUGAGUAGGGCUGGAGCGGAAAACACCUCCCCAAGGCUAUGUAUGUCACAGGUGCAAGGUUCCUGGUAUUUCCUAGACUCUUAUUAUUAUCAGGGAGAAAAAGGGGCGCUAAAUCUGCUUAAAUUGUUGGAUGGCAUUGUCGGUUAUGCUUAGCUUACUUAUUAAACUUUUUUUGUAGGCCAUUUUAUUCAGCACUGCCCUACAAACGGUGAUCCAAAUUAUGACAUCAAGAGAGUUAAACAACCUACUGGUAUUCCGAGAUCCAUGCUGAUGGUGAACCCACAAGGUUCCUAUGCUCUACCAAAUGGUUCAGUAGCUGUAUUGAAGCCAAAUGAGUGAGUACAUGUUGGUUCUUCGUCUCCAUUCUGUCAUAUGUAGGACUAAUAUUGUAUUUCUCACCUAAUCCUGCUAAACAGGGCUGCUUUUGAGAAAGAAAUAGAAGGUUUACCUUCCGCCACACGUUCUGUUGGGGAUCUACCACCUGAGCUCCACUGCCCCUUGUGCAAUGAUGUGAUGAAAGAUGCUGUGCUGACAAGCAAGUGCUGUUUUAAAAGCUUUUGUGACAAAUGUAUGUUUCUUUGUCUUCCUG